rnacentral:rRNA from 1 species
UAACUUCGGGAAACCGGAGCUAAUACCGGAUAAUAUUUCGAACCGCAUGGUUCGAUAGUGAAAGAUGGUUUUGUCUAUCACUUAUAGAUGGACCCGCGCCGUAUUAGCUAGUUGGUAAGGUAACGGCUUACCAAGGCGACGAUACGUAGCCGACCUGAGAGGGUGGAUCGGCCACACUGGAACUGAGACACGGUCCAGACUCCUACGGGAGGGCAGCAGCAU